rnacentral:rRNA from 1 species
AGAGUGAACGCUGGCGGCAGGCCUAACACAUGCAAGUCGAACGGCAGCACAGGAGAGCUUGCUCUCUGGGUGGCGAGUGGCGGACGGGUGAGGAAUACGUCGGAAUCUGCCUAUUUGUGGGGGAUAACGUAGGGAAACUUACGCUAAUACCGCAUACGACCUACGGGUGAAAGCGGAGGACCUUCGGGCUUCGCGCAGAUAGAUGAGCCGACGUCGGAUUAGCUAGUUGGGCGGGGUAAAGGCCCACCGAAGGCGACGAUCCGUAGUUGGUCUGAGAGGAUGAUCAGCCACACUGGAACUGAGACACGGUCCAGACUCCGUACGGGAGCAG